GUGCUCGCUUCGGCAGCACAUGUACUAAAAUUGGAACGAUACAGAGAAGAUUAGCAUGGCCCCUGCGCAAGAAUGACAUGCAAAUUCGUGAAGCAUUCCAUAUUUUU
rnacentral:snRNA from 1 species